rnacentral:rRNA from 1 species
UACGAAGGGGGCUAGCGUUGUUCGGAUUUACUGGGCGUAAAGCGCGUGUAGGCGGGCCGUUAAGUUGGGGGUGAAAGCCCGGAGCUCAACUCCGGAACUGCCUUCAAAACUGGCGACCUGGAGCAUGUCAGAGGCGAGUGGAAUUGCGAGUGUAGAGGUGAAAUUCGUAGAUAUUCGCAGGAACACCAGUGGCGAAGGCGAAUCGCUGGGACAUUGCUGACGCUGAGACGCGAAAGCGUGGGGAGCAAACAGG